rnacentral:rRNA from 1 species
UACGGGGGGAGCAAGCGUUGUUCGGAUUUACUGGGCGUAAAGGGCGCGUAGGCGGUCAGCACAAGUCAGUUGUGAAAUCUCCGGGCUUAACCCGGAAAGGUCAACUGAUACUGUGCGACUAGAGUGCGGAAGGGGCGACUGGAAUUCUCGGUGUAGCGGUGAAAUGCGUAGAUAUCGGAAGGAACGCCGGUGGCGAAAGCGACGUGCUGGACCUCUUCUGACGCUGAGGCGCGAAAGCCAGGGGAGCGAACGGG